CUCUUCCGGGUACAUCGGCAGACUUAUUUACCGUUACGCAUAUAGGUAACCCGAAGAACUCGAGGGAUAUAAAAGUUAAAUUUGUUUCGGUCCUCUUCAGAUUUGAAGGAAUGGAUAGCACGGGUCAAAAAAUGCAGAUGUAUAGACAAGGAGGUAUAUGACAAGUAUAGAAUAUACAGUUGUUCAAUAUGGACCAUUAAUCAACUGUUUGCAUUGCCUAUGAUCCUGAAAUAUCUAUACAUCAAAGAUAAAAAGGGAAAAGAUGAGGAGGAUUUGUCAUGAAGACCUUUAUUGCAACUACCAUCUUCCAGUUCCUUAAUUUGAGAAUGAUAUCAGAGAACAAAGUUACAGUGAAAUAUUAGUUUAAUAUAAGCCACUGAGAAUAGUCAAAUGUACUUUCCUGAAGAAGAUGAAUGACAUCCAGCACAAAAAUAUUAAUGUAUAAAGAGUAUGAUUUUAUGGUGUUUGACACUAUGAUCUUGUUAACAUGUUAAUGUCACAAUGAUAGAAACAGAGUAAAAUAUCCACAUUUAAUUGCAGUUUUUAAGUAUUAAAACUAGAUACUCUAUAUAUACCAAAGCUGAUAACACACCAGAGAUAAGGUUUUUUCAUGGAAUCACAGUAUAGUCAUAUGACAUUAUGGACAUAAAAUGACUAUGAAGUAAAGAUUAGCAAAAAUAUUAUAUAUCAUCUACUACUAAGUACUAAUAUUGUGAGGUAAUCAUUGAUAAGCUCACAAAUUUGCAUUCAAAGCUUUGAUAUCAAGCUGAACAUUUUUCAAUUAGAAUAUGAUUUAUAACUCUAUGAUAAUUUGUUCAUGUUAAUUUUCAAAGUCUUUACAUUUGUAA